rnacentral:misc_RNA from 1 species
GAGAUAUAAUAUUUAACCUUAAAUUUAUUAUAAGAAGUAGCCUUAUUCUGAUUGUUGUCUUAAUGACAUUGCAGUUUGGGCUGAACCGGGGGCGGAACUCGACGAGAACCAAAAUUAAAAGUAAAGUUCAGCAAUUUUUUUGACAUUUACAUCCGGGUUAUUCUAUUCCGAAACCAUCAUGGCCGCCUCUGAUGGCUCUGGGAAAGACGAAGUCAAAACACAGUUUACAACUCGUGAGGGCCUUUAUAAACUUAUGACUUUAUCAGAGUAUUCACGACCUACAAGAGCACCAUAUAAUGUACAAUGCUGUCAUCCUGUAAAGGUUUCAUUCGUAGCUGUUAAGGAUGGCUCAGGCUCCAACGAGAAAAUUUGUUUCAACGUCGGACGCGAGCUGUAUUUUUACCUGUACAAAGGCGUGCGGAAGGCUGCAGAUUUAACAAAACCAAUAGAUAAACGCACAUACAAGGGAGGGACACUACCAACGUGUCACGACCUAAAUCAGUUCACAGCAGGUGAGAAUGGCGUGGCGUUACUUAUCGGAUUCUCUGCUGGACAAGUUCAACUAAUUGACCCAAUCAUGAAAGAUGUUAGCCGAAUAUUUAAUGAUGAGCGACUUAUAGACAAAACAAAGGUUACUUGUGUGAAAUGGGUUCCCGGUACAGAACAUAUGUUUCUUGUGUCACAUUCUAGUGGUCAGUUGUAUGUUUAUAAUAGGGAGCACCCAGUCUUCAAUACGCCCCCUCAAUAUCAAACUUGGAAGCACGGAGAUGGGUACGCCAUAUAUACAUGCAAGACAAAGUCCAAUCGGAAUCCAGUAUUUCGAUGGAUUGUAGGUGAGGGCUCCCUAAAUGAGUUUGCAUUCUCACCGGAUGUCAAAUACCUUGCUACAGUUUCUCAAGAUGGUUUUCUACGCAUUUUCAAUUAUGAUACUAUGGACCUAGUUGGCUCAAUGAAAAGCUACUUCGGUGGACUCCAGUGUGUGAGUUGGAGUCCUGAUUCAAAGUAUGUUGUAGUUGGCGGUGAAGAUGAUCUAGUAACUGUAUGGUCUUUUGUUGAAAAACGAGUCGUUGCAAGAGGUAAAGGACAUAAAUCGUGGGUCACGACAGUCUGUUUUGACCCGUACACUUCGGAAAUCUUAAAUCAUAAUGAGGAUUUCAUGGGAAGCGAUGACGAUUUUACCUCACCGCACGAUCAGCGCUCACCUGGAUCUAGAAGAGAACGUACUUUGAGCAGUCAAUCGAGGAAUUCAAUUCAAAGUAAUGGUGGUGUACCACCGGUGCUUUACAGAUUCGGCUCUGUAGCCCAGGACACUCAGCUAUGUCUGUGGGAAUUUACAGAAGAUCUUUUAAAACAGAAUCAGCCUCUUUCUUGGCAACGGACAAACAUGCAAAGUCCCGUAAGUAGUCUAGCGCAGUGCAAUAGUCUAUCGUCACAAGGCAAGACAUCCAGCAACACAAACACCAGCCAUCAUUCAGAUGGCGGGGUGCAUAGUAGGUUUUCAACGCUAAGCCUUGGUGAUAAACAUAAAGAUAAAAGUAAAAAGGAAUCUGUUUCAAGUAAAAGUGGAGAGAAAAUGAACAUUCUCAGCAAGAUCCAUCAGAAAAUCUUAGAAGACUCGGCAAAGGCAAUUGGUACGCCGAUGUGCCCGAGGAUUGAUGAACUGAUUAUACUUGAACCGUUAAUCGCAAAAAAGAUCGCACACGAACGGGUGACCUCACUUAUAUUUAAGGAAGACUGUAUUGUUACAGCAUGUCAAGAAGGCUUUGUUAGUACGUGGGCUAGACCAGGCAAAGUGCCCAACCAUGCCCCAGAUCUCACGGGCAGAGGGGAGAUGCACUCUGAGAAAUCCCACUAAUUUGAGGGACUAAUGCAGUCAACUACAUCGGUGCCAGGCGGUACAGUGGUCUGAUAGAUCUUUGAGGUUUACCAGAACGCCCUCCGCACAACACCAGUUGCUGACCUUUCAUUGUCAUCUGGAGUCAACAAAACACAGGCUCCUAUAGUACUGCAAAGUUCCAGAUUGGUAUACAGUCAGGGUGCAUGUACUGUAGAGUGUGGUGCUGAGAAAGCUUCAUGCUUCCUUGGCCUGUCUUACAUCCACUGGUCUUAGUGAUGGCAAUCUUUUGGCAGUGAUCUUAAAUAGCUGUUGUACAGUAUAUACUCAAGUGGUCAGCCGUAGUUAAAACCAUAUUCAAAUGACAUCCAUCAGUUCUUAAGGAUUUAUCUUGACUGGCAUUGAUUCCACAGUGGUCAGCCUGACUGGACUCGGACACUAGAUUGGUCAGCCUGAAGUAACAUCCAGGAUGUAUGGACUCUUGAUUGAGCUUUUAUGGAUGCAAGAUGUCGGCUUUGAUCAGGGGUCAGCCUGAAUAUUCAACUGUACCGGGAAUGUACAAUGUUAUGACUCAAGAUACAGUAUCAGUCAUUGAUCCACAUUGGUCAGGCUGGCAUCCAGUGUUCUUGUUGGUUCUUAAGAUGUCAGCAAGAAUUCAGUGGUGGUCGUUCUCAUUUUGUUACGUUAAAUAUCUUGCUUAAUUACUUCCAAAAUAAAUUCUAAAAAGUGGUAAGCGUCCCACAAUAUCUUGCUUAUUUUAAAACAUUGCAUCUAGCAAUGUUUUUCAUAUCACAGGAUAUGUUUUGCCAUUCAGUAAUACCAUUUGGGGAAAUGGGAAAUCAAAACGAUGUCUGACCCAGUUUUGAAAUAUAUUCAACCAACUAUUUAACUAUAUAGGAAUCAUGUAUGGUAUGUUGACUUUUAAAAUUGAUAAGUACAGCGUGUUCCAUUGCUGCCAGAUAAUUUUUGUUUUGUGAAUAUUUUUUGUAAAUUGUGCAAAACUUUAUAGAACCACUGGCCUAAUACAGUCUCCUCAGCAGUUUUAUUUAUCAUUUCUUGUUUUAAUCAAUUUUUUUUUUUUCUGAUAUGAAGUAUACAGUCAAUAUUCUGCACAAUAUUAAAUUUUCAAAGAAUUUUAUAUUCCUCAAGAUUAAAUUGUUUUAAUCUCAAAAUGAGAAAUAUAGUUUGUUUGCAUACUUUUGUAGGGGAGGGAGACGGCUAAUUUCAACUCUCUUUAAAGUUCUUAAAAAAAAGCCGAAUGAUGUGAAUACAUAAGAAAUUUAAACAAUAUCUAAAUUCUUUAAUACAUGUGCGCAGCAUAUACUGUACCGUAUAUACUCACGCAUACAAGACGACCCCCAAGUUUGAGAAGAUUUUUGGACAAUUUUUGUAUGUCAGGUAUACAAGAUGACCCCCUCCCCCUUGUUUCAUCGUCGGUAUUUCUACUUUUUGCUGCUUUUUAUAGGCUUGAUACUGCAUCUAGCUGGCUAAAGCGGGGCCAGAUAUAGGGGAAAUCCUUCAAAUAUUACCAUUUUAUGGGCUUCUAAAUGUUUGUCAAAAUAUUAUUUCCCAGCAUUUAAAAUUGCAUUCAUUCAUACUAACCGUUAGUAGUUUUUAAUUUCAUUUGUAAAUUUGUGUGUUACAGACUAUCCGCACAUAAGACGAACAUGAUUUAAAAAUAAAAAAUUUGUAUGUGUUGCGCGUAUAAGAUGAGAAUAUAUGGUACUAAUGCUGUAUUAUAUUAUUUUGGUGAAUUUUCAUAGUGAAUCUGGUUCUCAAAUCAAAUACCAUGAUAUGAAAUCCUGGUGGCUACUUCUAUAGACAAUACUCAGUUUUGUAAUUCGUAACUUUGUCCUGAAACACUUACCGGUGAUUAAAUGACCGAUUGGUUGAUGAAGGAGGCUGGUACCUCUCAUAGUAAUGUAAACUGAAAAGUUGUGUGUUCUCAAAUUAUUUAAGCCUAACAUUUUUUUUUUACAAAUUUUUGUAAUUUUAUUGAUAAAAGAAUUAUUAAUUUCAAUCCACAUUAGGUGGUACUUCAUAGAAGUAUGUACUUUUAUAUAGAUCAGCAAUGUAUGAAAUUGUGGGGGACAAUUGUGUUGGAAUUAUCUGCCUCUGUCAAAAAUAUG